rnacentral:piRNA from 1 species
UGAAAUACUGAAGAAAAGUUGCUGGAAACA